rnacentral:rRNA from 1 species
GAUGAACGCUGGCGGCGUGCCUAAUACAUGCAAGUCGAGCGAACGGACGAGAAGCUUGCUUCUCUGAUGUUAGCGGCGGACGGGUGAGUAACACGUGGAUAACCUACCUAUAAGACUGGGAUAACUUCGGGAAACCGGAGCUAAUACCGGAUGAUAUUUUGAACCGCAUGGUUCAAAAGUGAAAGACGGUCUUGCUGUCACUUAUAGAUGGAUCCGCGCUGCAUUAGCUAGUUGGUAAGGUAACGGCUUACCAAGGCAACGAUGCAUAGCCGACCUGAGAGGGUGAUCGGCCACACUGGAACUGAGACACGGUCCAGACUCCGACGGGAGGCCGCAGUAGGGAAUCUUCCGCAAUGGGCGAAAGCCUGACGGAGCAACGCCGCGUGAGUGAUGAAGGUCUUCGGAUCGUAAAACUCUGUUAUUAGGGAAGAACAUAUGUGUAAGUAACUGUGCACAUCUUGACGGUACCUAAUCAGAAAGCCACGGCUAACUACGUG